rnacentral:lncRNA from 1 species
ACUCUGGCCAGCUUUUAUGUAGGGCAGACAUCUCAGGAGGAAGAGCCAACAGAACCAGAAGUGUUCCCAGACAUGUUGCUUCACCACCGUGCCUCUCUUUCUUUCAGCAAACAGGAGAGGUAGGAGAGGAAGGCAGAACAGAGCACUGUACAAGAAGGCAGGAAUGUCAGGCCUCUGAGCCCAAGCCAAGCCAUCGCAUCCCCUGUGACUUGCACGUAUACGCCCAGAUGGCCUGAAGUAACUGAAGAAUCACAAAAGAAGUGAAAAGGCCCUGCCCGGCCUUAACUGAUGACAUUCCACCAUUGUGAUUUGUUCCUGCCCCACCUUAACUGAGUGAUUAACCCUGUGAAUUUCCUUCCCCUGGCUCAGAAGCUCUCCCACUGAGCACCUUGUGACCCCCGCCCCUGCCCACCAGAGAACAACCCCCUUUGACUGUAAUUUUCCUUUACCUUCCCAAAUCCUAUAAAAGGGCCCCACCCGUAUCUCCC